rnacentral:rRNA from 1 species
UACGUAGGGUGCGAGCGUUGUCCGGAAUUAUUGGGCGUAAAGAGCUCGUAGGCGGUGUGUCGCGUCGGCCGUGAAAACCUGCAGCUUAACUGUGGGCUUGCGGUCGAUACGGGCAUCACUGGAGUUCGGCAGGGGAGACUGGAAUUCCUGGUGUAGCGGUGAAAUGCGCAGAUAUCAGGAGGAACACCGGUGGCGAAGGCGGGUCUCUGGGCCGAUACUGACGCUGGAGACGCGAAAGCCGUGGGGAGCAAACAGG